rnacentral:rRNA from 1 species
UACGUAGGGUGCAAGCGUUGUCCGGAAUUAUUGGGCGUAAAGAGCUCGUAGGCGGUCUGUCGCGUCUGCUGUGAAAACUCAGGGCUUAACCCUGAGCUUGCAGUGGGUACGGGCAGACUAGAGUGGCGGUAGGGGAGACUGGAAUUCCUGGUGUAGCGGUGAAAUGCGCAGAUAUCAGGAGGAACACCGGUGGCGAAGGCGGGUCUCUGGGCCGUAACUGACGCU